ACAUGAUAAGUAAAUAAAAGCUGCUGUGAAUAAAAUGACAGACAACACAUUGAUGUCUUUGAAUUACACAAAGCGAAACCUCCAAGUAAACCAGGAAACUCGUGUUGAACGGCGGCACAAUGAAGUUGGUGAUUUUGGCUUUAAGCAUUUUCCUGCUCUUCACAAUCAGCGCAGCCAUUGAGAUGGCGGCGUUUGGCCCUCCCGGCUCACAUAAUGCAAGGAGGCAACGUAUGAUCGUUGAGUCGCGUUAUAAUGGGUUUGUGCAGCCCGACCAUCCCGGCAUGGGCGCACCCCUCACGCUCAACUAAAUGAUUAGCUCCAAGAAGCAGCCAUACUGCAGUGCGCCAAAGCGGCGGGAGUGCAUCAAGUCUGAAUGCUUCAAGACUCCUCGUGCCUCCAUGUUCUUUAGUUAGUUUGCAAAGCAUCAAAAAGACCAAAAAUAAAGAAAUGUUAUAAAGAAA